rnacentral:lncRNA from 1 species
GGGCUGCCCCAUAAGUCCCCCCGCUGUGGGGCUGCCCCAUAAGUGCCCCAUAGGUCUGUUAGUUGUGGGGCUGCCCCAUAAGUGCCCCAUAGGUCUGUUAGUUAUGGGGCUGCCCCAUAGGGCCGCUGAUGCCCCCCGCCCCCCGCAGGGCCCCCCCCCCACUGCCGGAGCUGCAGCGCGAGCUGGAGGCGCUGACUCAGCAACUGGAGCGGCUGAGGGCGCAGGUGGGGGGCUGGGACCCACAAGUGGGGGGUGGGACCCACAAGUGUGGGUGGGGGGCUGUGGGACCCCUAUAUGUGGGUGGGGGGCUGUGGGACCCCCGGGUGUGGGGCUGGGGGACCCUGGGGUGUGGGGCUGGGGGACCCACAAGUUGGGGGUGGGACCCCCAUGUGUGGGUGUGGGGCUGUGGGACCCCCAAGUGUGGGGCUGGGACCCAUAUAUGUGGGGU